rnacentral:lncRNA from 1 species
GCUCGUCUCCGCCGGGGACGUGCUGCAGCAACGGCUGCAGGGCCGCUAGGCCGACUGGCGCCAGACGCGGCGCGUGGCCACGUUGGUGGUGACCUUCCACGCCAACUUCAACUACGUGUGGCUGGGCCUGCUGGAGCGCGCGCUCCCGGGCCGAGCGCCGCGCGCCAUGCUGGCCAAGUUGCUGUGCGACCAGGUGGUCGGUGCGCCCAUCGCGGUCUCGGCCUUCUACGCCGGUAUGAGCAUUCUCCAGGGAAAGGAUGACAUAUUUUUGGACCUGAAACAGAAAUUCUGGAACACCUAUAUGGUGGUCUAUGUUGCCCGCAACGCAAAGGAUGUGGCGGUUUCCUACUACCACUUCUACCACAUGGCCAAAGUGUACCCUCACCCUGGGACCUGGGAAAGCUUCCUGGAGAAGUUCAUGGCUGGAGAAGUGUCCUAUGGGUCCUGGUACCAGCACGUGCAAGAGUGGUGGGAGCUGAGCCGCACCCACCCUGUUCUCUACCUCUUCUAUGAAGACAUGAAGGAGAACCCCAAAAGGGAGAUUCAAAAGAUCCUGGAGUUUGUGGGGCGCUCCCUGCCAGAGGAGACUGUGGACCUCAUGGUUGAGCACACGUCGUUCAAGGAGAUGAAGAAGAACCCUAUGACCAACUACACCACCGUCCGCCGGGAGUUCAUGGACCACAGCAUCUCCCCCUUCAUGAGGAAAGGCAUGGCUGGGGACUGGAAGACCACCUUCACCGUGGCGCAGAAUGAGCGCUUCGAUGCGGACUAUGCGAAGAAGAUGGCAGGCUGC